rnacentral:rRNA from 1 species
AGAGUUUGAUUCUGGCUCAGGACGAACGCUGGCGGCGUGCUUAACACAUGCAAGUCGAACGGUGACCAGGGCUUCGGCCCUGCGAUCAGUGGCGAACGGGUGCGUAACACGUGGGCAACCUGCCCCAGACACUGGGAUAACUCCGGGAAACCGGGGCUAAUACCGGAUACUCCGCUCGAACCGCAUGGUUCGAUCGGGAAAGCUCCGACGGUCUGGGAUGGGCCCGCGGCCUAUCAGCUUGUUGGUGGGGUAACGGCCUACCAAGGCGACGACGGGUAGCUGGUCUGAGAGGACGACCAGCCACACUGGAACUGAGAUACGGUCCAGACUCCUACGGGAGGCAGCAGUGGGGAAUCUUGCACAAUGGGCGCAAGCCUGAUGCAGCGACGCCGCGUGAGGGAUGAAGGCCCUCGGGUUGUAAACCUCUUUCGGCAGGGAAGAAGCGCAAGUGACGGUACCUGCAGAAGAAGUCCCGGCUAACUACGUGCCAGCAGCCGCGGUAAGACGUAGGGGACGAGCGUUGUCCGGAUUUAUUGGGCGUAAAGCGCGCGUAGGCGGUUUGGUAAGUCGGAUGUGAAAUCCCGUGGCUUAACCGCGGGACUGCAUCCGAUACUGCCCGACUAGAGGUAGGUAGGGGAG